UACGUAGGGUGCAAGCGUUAUCCGGAAUUAUUGGGCGUAAAGAGCUCGUAGGCGGUUUGUCGCGUCUGCUGUGAAAACUGGAGGCUCAACCUCCAGCCUGCAGUGGGUACGGGCAGACUAGAGUGCGGUAGGGGAGAUUGGAAUUCCUGGUGUAGCGGUGGAAUGCGCAGAUAUCAGGAGGAACACCGGUGGCGAAGGCGGGUCUCUGGGCAACAACUGACGCUGAGGAGCGAAAGCGUGGGGAGCAAACAGG
rnacentral:rRNA from 1 species